UUUUUACUGUCAUUAAAAUCGUUUUUUUUUUUUUUUUUUUUUUUUUUUUUUUAAAGUUGAGGCGAUGACAAAUUUGGUCUGUAUGAUUUUUAUUUUUCUCAUCUCAUCUUUAUAGUCUGACCAUGUAGUUGACUUGUCAAAAGAAUAGAGUUUGCUGCAAAUCCUCAAAGGUGGCUUAUACAAGCCCCUUUUCCUUUGUGUUCGGGAAUAACAUGAGGUAUCUGUCUCGAUGCUUAUCCUAUCCACAAACAUCUAUUCUUCAACAGCAAUUUUAUUUUAGAAGACAUUGGAAACCAUCAUCUUUGUUUUUGUUAAGUUUAUCAAAGAAAGAGUAUUUCAUAUUGAUUUAACACAAACUGAAAGAAUAAAUGCGUAAGAAGAAAUGUAAACCAUAUUGAGCAAUAUAUUGUACUAGUAAACCAAAGGCAAACCAUUAGGAUUCAAUAAAGGCAGUGUAAAAAUUUAUUUCAUGACACGGGUAAUAUACAGUGCAUGAGUUGAAAAACUUGCAACAGGCAGCUAUUAAACAAAUUUCAACCUACAACAGGCAGCUUUAAACAAAGCCGGCAUGAAAGGUUGCGCCAACAGCUGAGCAGCUCUUUGAACUUUCUAUAAAUCUUUAGCAUCAAAAUUGAUAUUUUCAGUCGCCAGAGGAGGACAACAGAAGAUUAGCUGAUCCUAAUUGCCAAUGGUAUCUCCGGACACUGAUGCAGUCACCGUCCUACCCAUCUAUAUACUUUCACCAUACAAUUACAAGCCACAAAUAAAAAGGACUCCGUCCUUCAGUAACAGCUACUAAAAAGCAUGAGAAA